CGCGUCGUCUCAUUGCAACUGAUCGCGAUUUGUGAAAAAACAUCGAUGCAUCGACAAUCGAUGUUUUUUUGGCGAUGUUUUCCGAUGUUUUCCGAUGUUUUUAUUGAUACCGAUGUUAAGCGAUGCAUCGAUGUUUGACAGAACAUCGGGCGUUAAAUUUCACAACAUUGCAGAACAUAUGGAUACACUGCCACAUAGAAAAAUUCGCGAAUUUGUUUCUUUUUUUUACCCUGUGUUUGCAAUGCCAAAAAUAACAACAAAGACAAGCUUUUGCUGGAGGCACUUUACAAAAUUGAUGGAAAUAGCGCGAAAUGCAACAUUUGCAACAAAGUUUUGAAGAUUGCGGGUAACACGACCAACAUGAAGGACCACCUGCGGUCCAUUCAUAAAAUAGAACAAAAUGUUGAAGAAAUGUUGUUUAAGAAUUGAAUUAACGAAAAAUAACGGAAUUGGUAGAAAACAUCGAUACAUCGAUGUUUAUAGCCGAUGUUUUACA